GUCGAAGGUGGGGCUGAUGACUGGGGUGAAGUCGUAACAAGGUAUCCGUACCGGAAGGUGCGGAUGGAUCACCUCCUAACAGGGAGACAACACAAUGAUUUUGAUGCCUGAGUGCUUUUAUUCUUAGGCCGAAAUCCUGUCACCUUAGGUCGAUCGGUACCUCAGCUUUGAAGUCAAGGAUCAGCAGCAAUGUUGAUUGCUUGAUGGAGAUUUUCAGUUCCUAAACUUUGUCUAGGUCACACCCCAAAAGGGAUGAGACUCCUGGGCCAUUAGCUCAGGUGGUUAGAGCGCACCCCUGAUAAGGGUGAGGUCCCUGGUUCAAGUCCAGGAUGGCCCAUUCGGUGUUGGGGGUUUAGCUCAGUUGGUAGAGCGCCUGCUUUGCAAGCAGGAUGUCAGGAGUUCGAGUCUCCUAACCUCCACUGACCGAACUUGAUUCCCAUCUCCAAUUCUUUUGGAGUUGAGCUCGAUUGGAGUGUGAUUUAGAUGUGUCCGCUGGAUGACCCCAGCUUCCUGUCAUUCCAAGUUUUAGGUUGAUGCCUUGAAUUUGGUUGAUAAGAUGCUGGGCUCGGAUCAAAUGAUCAAGCAAUUGAUGAUUUGAUUUGAAGUUCUAGCAGAACCUUGACAACUGCAUAGGUGAGUCUGGAAAAAACAAAGCAUCUUACAGAUGCAUUGUUUUGAAUCUGAUCUUCUGAAAGGGAGAUUGGAUCUAGAACAAUGAAAAUUCUUUUGAGCAAGAGCCGAGACUCUUGAGCGUUCUUUGAUUGGUGUCGAGCUAAUCAGAGUUUGAUUUUGUUUUUAGCAAUAAAAACUUGAGAAUCUGCUUUCAACGGCGGUAAGCGUUCAAGAGGUUAAUUGGUCAAGCUACAAAGGGCUCACGGC
rnacentral:misc_RNA from 1 species